rnacentral:snRNA from 1 species
GGAUGUGCUGGCGAUCUGGCUGAGACAUCUGUCACCCCAUUGAUGGCCAGGGUUGAUUCUGCUGAUCUGGCUGGCUAGGCGGGUGUUCCCUUCUUUCUUCACUGCUCCAUGUGUGUCCCUCAGGAAGUUGCACGCUCCGUUGAAUAGAGGAGGACCAGUCUCCAGGCAAGGGUAUCCGACGAGCUGCGCUCCCCUGCUGGAACCUCCAAAUACUCAUCAGGUUCUUGGAAUAUGUUGCUAUUAUUCCAGGUGCCGGAAAUAAAAUGGCGAGUUAAAGAGCCCAAUCCUCGCUCUCU